GCCAAUCCAGGAUUAGCUUUUAUUAGGGAGACAGAUCAUCAAGCUGAAGUGCCAAGCCCUUUCUGUCUGAGUACUGAGAGCCUGUCCUCCAUGUUUUAUAAGUAUUGACAUAACACUGUGUUAACAAUGCAUCCACAGAGCUUGGCUGAAGAAGAAAUAAAAGCAGAGCAGGACGUAGUGGAAGGGAUGGAUAUCUCCACUCGAUCCAAAGUAUGCCAUCUCAAUACACUUCUGACAGCAAGAACACCUGAGCUUGGAAUUCUUGUGAAGCAGAAUGGCAUUUCUUUAAAUUUGUGCUCACUUGAACUAUUUAUCGUCUCAAGCCUCCUAGUUACUGUCUUUCAAUUAAUAUUGUCUAUUUUAAAAGUUUGUUUUGUAUUUCCAUUAAAAGUGUUAUAUUCAGUUACU
rnacentral:lncRNA from 1 species